rnacentral:rRNA from 1 species
AUGAACGCUAGCGACAGGCCUAACACAUGCAAGGUCGAGGGGCAGCACAAGGAGCAAUCUGAGGUGGCGACCGGCGCACGGGUGAGUAACACGUAUGCAACCUGCCUGUAAGCGGGGAAUAACCCGUUGAAAGACGGACUAAUACCGCAUAAUACUAAAUUACUGCAUGGUAAUUUAUUUAAACAUUUAUGGCUUACAGAUGGGCAUGCGCAUGAUUAGCUAGUUGGAGAGGUAACGGCUCCCCAAGGCAACGAUCAUUAGGGGUUCUGAGAGGAAGGUCCCCCACACUGGUACUGAGACACGGACCAGACUCCUACGGGAGGCAGCAGUGAGGAAUAUUGGUCAAUGGACAAGAGUCUGAACCAGCCAAGUCGCGUGCAGGAAGAAUGUCCUUAAUGGAUUGUAAACUGCUUUUGCAGGGGAAUAAAGUGCAUCACGUGUGAUGUUUUGUAUGUACUCUGCGAAUAAGGAUCGGCUAACUCCGUGCCAGCAGCCGC